UGCAUAUAUACUGAAAUUUCAUUUCUUCUUGAAUCAUGUCGUGGAAGGUGUGUUUAUUAUUAUUCCUCUUUAUUUCUUUCGCUCGAUCUACGAGUUCAAACUUGCCUAUAGUCGUAAAUACAUGGCCUUUUAUAACAGCAAAUGCGAAAGGUAACUUUUAUAUAUACAUUUACUCUUCUUAUUGCAGUGUGUUAUUGUUUUCUCGUGUUUAAAUAACUUUAAUAACCAUUGUUUAUAUGUGAAAUUAACGUUUUCAUUGAAUACAUAAACAGCAUCUGCAGGGGAAGAAUAGAAAGAAAAUAAAGAAAAGAUAAACUAUAACUCCAACAAAAUACAUCGUAGAUCAAAUAUUACUAACUGUUGAGGCCAAGCGCCUAAUAGAUUGUUAUAUAUUCCUUUACUACCCACAAGGGGCUAAACACAGAGGGGACAAACGAGGACAGACAAAGGGAUUUAGUCGAUUACAUCGACCCCAGUGCGUAACUGGUACUUAUUUAAUCGACCCCGAAAGGAUGAAAGGCAAAGUCGACCUCGGCGGAAUUUGAACUCAGAACGUAACGGCAGACGAAAUACGGCCACGCAUUUCGCCCGGCGUGCUAACGUUUCUGCCAGCUCAAAUUGUUUUAAAGUGCAAACAACAUUCGUUAGGUUCAUGUGAUUCCGUGUACUUUUAGACCUACAUAAAUACAUACAAAGACAUGCGGUGUUUAGAGUCUUGGGAUCGGGAUAAUAAGGUUGUGGGUUUGAUUUCUGGACCCAGGGCUGGAUUAAGUCCUAUAACAGUCUUAAGCACUUAAGAUUGGUCAUCCUUCGGGAAAGACUUCCGCCCCCCCGCCCCCCCAUUUUAUCCCAAAUUUGUUUAUUUUCUAACAUUUUUUUUCUUUUGCCAAAAACCCCCGUUUUCGGAUACGGAGGUUCCGGAAAAUUGUCAAAAAUCGGCAUUGUUAAAUCCUCCACCACCACCACCAAUUCUUCAAUUUUGACUAUUUUCCCCACACUAACACUAACCCCCUAAUCCUAACCGUAACUAUAGAAAUGUUUUGAAAUUUUUGUCCGAAUCAUAAUGUCCGCAUUUUUCCGCAUAUUUAAAAACAACAAAAAAUUCUUUAAAAAAAAUUUUACAAACAUUUUUGGAAUUUUCUUUCAGAAUCAUAAUCUCCGUAUUUUUCCACAUAUUUUGAAAAAAAAAAAUUUUUCCGAAAAAAGUAAAAAAAUUAAAGAAAUGGGGUGAGUGGAGUGGGGGGUAAUUUUAAAAUGCCGAUUUUUGUCAAUGUUUUUUGCAGAUUCGUAUUCCUCGUAGCCGAAAAGUGGGGCUUGUGUCGAAAAAAAAUUUUUUUUUUUUUAAAGGGUGAUUUUUUUGAGGGGUCGGGUGGAAGUCUUGCCAGUGAAGUGGUGUGUUGUUAUGUAUACGUAUAUGCAUAAAUGCAUGUGCAUACAGCUUUUCUUUUUUGUAUGUAUAUGUGCGAGUGUGUAUGAGAGAGAAAGAGGGAAUGGCAUACACAAGAGCACACACCUUUCUCUCUCACACACACACACACACAUACAUAAUAAAAGAUAAAUGCAUAUGUAUUUGUGUGUGUACGUAUACAUGCCAACACACCCCUUCACUCUCUCUAUCUCUCUCACACACACACAUACACACACGUCCAUUUCACAAACACGUACAUAUUAAUUUUCUCCUAAAAGCAAAUAAAUAAACAAAAAAUUACGGAAAUUAACGAAUAUCAAUGACAUUUCUGCAAGUCAAGAUGAAAAAGAUGACCAAAAGGGUCACGCAGAAGGGUCACAGAGUCGCCCCACUCGUAAAGAAAGAAGGAUAACAGAGUAUAAACCAAUAUAUAUCAUAGAGUACUGUAUGAUCUACAACUAGAAGGGGUGGACAAUCUGAAGUGCUGGAUCUGUGAAUUAGGCCCAGAGGAUGUUAGUGAAACAAAGAUCUUUGUAUAGUGUUUGGGGAAAGUGACAGAGAAAGAAGUAAGGAUAAAUCUAUCAUCAUUAUCAUCAACAACAACAACAUUUAAUUGCCACUUUACUGAGUUUGCAUGGGUCAGGUGGAAUUCAAGGCAGAUUUUCUAUGGAUGAUAUACUUCCUUUUGCCAGGGCUUACUUGUUUACAAGAUAUUUCCUAUAGCUAGACAGACAGACAUAUAUAUAUAUAUAUAUAUAUAUAUAUAUAGAAAAUCUGCCUUGAAUUCCACCUGAUCCAUGUAAACUCAGUAAAGUGGUAAUUAAAUGUUGUCGAUGAUGAUGAUAGAUUUAUCAUUAUUUCUUUCUCUGUCACUUUCCCCAAACACUAUACAAAGAUCUUUGUUCCACCAACGAAAUAGAGAUAAGAAUGUGCAUUGUCCAUUUGAUUGGAAAAUUUCUAUAAGUGGCUGAAGAUUGCUCGACAUUUUAAAACUGAUGUAAUACUUACAGUGUUUAAUAAAAUGAAGUAGCAUGAAACAAUUGUACUACUCUACCUUGGAUAUACUUGUUGCUUAUUUUGAUUAUAAUCACCCCAUUUAAUUUAUAUGGAUAAUACCAUUCAAAAUUCUGGUGCCUUUGACUUAAGUACCAUAUUCAUCUGAAUCUAAAUUUUACUGAACUUAUAUAUAUAUAGUAAAUUUACUCUUUUCUGCUAUCAUGUACUUAAGAAUGAAAUCAACCUCUCUGUCUAUAUAUCUACCCUCUUUAUAAUGUUGGCAAAUGAAAUAGGGAUAAGAAUGUGCAUUGUCCGUUUAAUUGGAAAAUUCUAUAUGUGGCUGAAGAUUGCUCGACAUUUUAAAACUGGUGUAAUACUUAGUGUUUAAUAAAAUGAAGUAGCAUGAAACAAUUGUACCACCCUACCUCGGCUAUACUUGUUGCUUAUUUUGAUAUAUAUAUAUAGAGAAAGAAAUAGAUAGAUGUAUGCAUACAUGCAUGCAUCUAUACAUACACACACCGCGCACACAUACUUCUACAAGUUUGUUAACCACACAGCUAUGUCUGAACCUUUGACAAUGUCAAAUAUUUGAAAAGAGAUUAUGGCAAAUAUUUUUUGAAAUAGUUGGUGGUAUUGUUUAUAGAUAGAUCAGGUUUUGUAAUCUGCCUCAUCCUCUUUAUUGUUCCUAUAAUCAUUUAUCCACAACUGGCAUGCAAUGAAUAAAUAUAUUUGCUUGUCAGAGUUUUUUUUUCUUUUACUUAUUGGUUACUUUUCUUGUUGGAAUCUGCUGGGAAGAGGAAUAUCAAUUGUAUAUAUAACAGCUGUUGGACGAAUGUUGAUAAGUUUCCAUGUGGCUGCUGUGGUCUGUUGUUGCUGGAACUGGCUGUGUCCUGUGUGGUCAACGGCUAGACCUAAACGGGUCUGGAACUGACUGACUUCGACUCAGUGUUGAAGCUAGCAUUUUAUACCAUUCCAGUUCACUCAGGUCACAGGUGCCAAGCCACAUAGGAAAACAUCAGUGGCGUAGAGAGGGAGAGGCUGGUAUGCAUGGGCAACUGCUGGCCUUCCACAAACAAUCUUGCCCGGACUUGUGCCUGGGAGGGUAACUUUCUAGGUGCAAUCCCAUGGUCAUUCAUGACAGAAGGGUGUCUCCUCCUAUUUUUUGGUGUUCCCUGUUUCUUUAUAUGGGUUGCAUGUAUCAUUACUUAAGAACUCAUAUCUUUCUUCUUUAUGAGUGAAAAUAUACUUAUUUAAUUGACCCUGAAAGGAUGAAAGGCAAAGUCGACCUCGGUGGAAUUUGAACUCAGAACGUAACGGCAGACUAAAUACGGUUAUGCAUUUCGGCCAGUGUGCUAACGUUUCUGCCAGCUCGCCGCCUUCAAAUACCUUGAGGUUUUCUAUCAGAUGCUCAAACAACUCAGCCAAUAUGCCACUUAGUUUUUGUUGCUCCUUUUCAUUUAUCUCCGGUGUUGUACAUUCCAGCACAGCAGUUGUGGCCAAAUAGGUUACUGAUACCACUGUUGUGUUUGUAUGUGUUUGUUUUAUUGUUUGUCUUUUGUGUGGACUGAGUGGGAAGGAAAGUGUCCUUAGCACAAUAUUGUAGUGAUGUUAUGAUAGUGGUAGGGUCUGUGAAGUUUUGGGAAAAAACUGAGUUUUUCAUUUGUAAAAGUUGUCUUACAUUUUGUAUAUUUUUGUCUCAUUGUGUAAUGUAGUGUUCUGUCUGCACCCUGUGAAAUUCUGGAUUUUGCUAAAUUGUAAUCUUUACAUCUUGUGAAGAUAUUGGAGGUCUCGAUAAGAUGGGCAUCAUCCGUGGCACAUCUAAUAUAACAUUUGAUGUUAGGUAGAAAAAAUGACAAGAAGAAUAAAGUGAAAUUACUAUGGAGAUUGGAGUAUAUUCUACAUUUCAGUCAGAAUCCUUCUUCAGGAUGAAGAGGAUAGAAAGAAAAUAAAAGAAAGACAGCUAAGUUUUACGUCUGCCAUGUUGGAGGAAAUGACUGCACCAGAUGAAGGGCACGAGAUAAUGAGAGUUUCAUUCGUAAACCUAAGAGGCUGGAGGAGAAAGAAAUUGAGUGAAAAAAAGAAGGAAAGUGGUGGAAAUGGGAAGAGGAGUGGGUGAGGGGGAAGUGAGAGGGAAGCUGAAGAAAGAAUGAGGUUACUGAACUCUGCGGAGAUUUAGGUGCAGCAAGCAAAACGUUCAUUUAAACCUACUUUCUGUAUUUGCGUAUGUGUAACGUGUUUAUGUUGUGUCAUGUGAUGGUUCGUUGUAUUUUAUGUUGUUUGGUGUGGCUGGUUGGUUGGUUGGUUGGUUGGUUGUUUGGUGUGGCUGGUUGGUUGGUUGGUUGGUUGGUUGGUUGGUGAAGGAGAUAAAGGGUUUAGCUGGUGUUACUUUGAAUCUAUUUGUUUCAUUCUUGGUUUCUAUUUACUUAUUUCCAUGCUUAUCUGUGAUGAGUUGAGAUGGCUGUAGCUUGUGAAAUCCACAGUAUCAGAAACAGAAACCGUCCAGGACUCAACUAUCACAGACUUUUAAUACACGAGAUCAUCAACCAGUUAUAUUCCAGCACUAGACAUAUAAGGGGGUCCUGAAAAAUACCUGACUUUGGGCAAAAGAAAAUACAAAAGGAUCAGUUAAUUAUGAUUUUAUUCAACAUAAUCCCCUCUCAGAUUCACACACUUAUUGCAAUGGUCCUUAAAAUUUUUCUAAUUCCUGUAAAAGAACUUGGAAUGUUGGGCCGCCAACUAGGCUCCCAUGAAACCCUUAAAACCAGGGCAAAAGAAAAUACAGGACGACCAGUUAAUUUUGAUUUUAUUCAACAUAUUCCCCUCUCAGAUUCACACACUUAUUGCAGUGGUACUUAAGUUUUUCUAAGCCCUGUUAAAGGACUAAAAAGGUCGGGCCUACAACUAGGCUUCCACAAUACCCUUAAAACCAGGAACUUUUCCGCACCCCUUCAUACGUAAAAAGCACUAUUCGAGCAUGAUCGUUACCAGAGUCGCCUUACUGGCACAUGAAAAACUUUCGAGUGAGGUUGUUGCCAGUGCUGCUGGACUGGCUCCUGUGCAGGUGGCAUGUAAAAAACACCAUUUGAGCGUGGCCAUUGCCAGUACCACCUGACUGGCCCUCAUGCCAGUGGCACAUAAAAGCACCCACUACGCUCUCAGAGUGGUUGGCAUUAGGAAGAGCAUCCAGCUGUAGAAACUCUGCCAGAUCAAGAUUGCAGCCUGGUGAAGCCACCUGGUGAAGCCACCUGGUGAAGCCAGUUCUCAGUCAAAUCUUCCAACCCAUGGAAAGUGGACAUUAAACGAUGUUGAUGAUGAUAUAUUGAUUCAAGAUCUAACUUGAUUGUACUAAUCAACAUUUAUAGCUACCUAUUUUGCUCUUUAUGCCACCUCAGGAAGUGCUUGGUUACAGCUACAUCAUAAAUGGAUGCACCCUAUUAAUGACAAAGAAUAUGACCAAACCAUGAAGGGCUGAUGAAGGGUUGGAGGAGGUAACAGAUUGGGAUGUAUGGGUAGUGAUAGUGGUAAGUAUCUCUGAUGUCUAUUCAGUGAGAAGUGAUGACAGGGGAGUAACUGUAAUGUCUGUUGGGAGUGGUACUAGAAGAUAACAGCAAUGACCCUUUCUCUCAGUUUUUUUUUUAAUCUGUUUUAAAGCUUGGAGUGUGAUCAACAAUAAAGGAAGAUCUGCUUUAGAUGCUGUUGAGCAAGGAUGCUCCAUGUGUGACGUGUAUCGACAAUGCGGAUCAAGUGUUGGAUAUGGUGGAUCACCUGAUGAAAAUGGAGAAACAACUCUCGAUGCAAUGAUAAUGGAUGGGUAACAUGCUUUAUAUUUCAACUAAUAUUCCUUUCUAUGUAUCAUCAUCAUCAUCAUCAUUAUCGUUUAAUAUCUGAUUUCCAUGCUAGCAUGGGUUGGACAGUUCAACUGGGGUCUGGGAAGCCAGGAGGCUGCACCAGGCUCCAGUCUGAUCUGGCAGUGUUUUUACAGCUGGAUGCCCUUCCUAACGCCAACCAUUCCAUGAGUGUAGUGGGUGCUUUUUAUGUGCCACCAGCACAGGGGCCAGAGGAGGCUGGCAAUGGCCACGAUCAGUUGGUGCUUUUUACAUGCCACCGGCAUGGAAGCCAGUCAAGGCGGCGCUGGCAUCAGCCAUGUUCAGAUGGUGCUUUUUAUGUGCCACCAACACGGGUAUCACCACAACAAUUUCCAUUGAUUUUCAUUUUGAUGUUGAUGUAUCAGAGUUGAUAAUAUCAUUUGUUACAUGCAUAAACAAACUGGAACUUAAAUAUUCGUCCCAUACAUAAGAUUUCGUAUUGAUCGUCAUAUGGGUGAUAAUUACAGAUUGUCACAUGUCACACCAUGCAAUUCAUCUCAAUAUGUCACAGUCUGAACAUGUACCUCGGAGGGGAACUUUAUUGGUGCAAUUCCAUAGUCAUUCACGACCGAAAGGGGUCUUUUACCUUAUCCAGAGAUGCAUUAUCCAAUGUAUCUGUGCCAUUUUCAAUAUGACAAUUAAGGUGUGAUUUGAGGGAGAUUUGACUGCUAUUUGAAACAGAUCGGACAACUUUACAGAGUCUUCAGUAUCAGUUGGUAGUCAAUGGAAGUGGAAUUUUGAAAUAUAAAUUUAUAAAAUUCCAGACCUUGCUUCCACACCUGAAAUUUCUUCUCUAGUUCUGGUAGUGAUUCAGCAAUAAGAACAAGGUAAUCAGCAUAGAGGAGCUCCUAAGGGUAGCCAGUCUUAAAUUCCUCAGUUAUAGCUUGGAAGACCAUGAUAAAUAAAAGGAGGCUAAGAACCAAACCUUGGUGAAUGCCUACUUGUACAAUAAACUCCUUGCUAUAUUCAAUUGUGACUAACCACUCAUCUAUCCUUAGUUUUUGCAUUGCCCAUUAGAUAAGGGAGUGGGGUCCCUAUCAAAGGCUGUAGAAACUCUGCCAGAUCAGAUUGGAGCCUGGUGUAGCCAUCUGGUUCGCCAGCCCUCAGUCAAAAUCGUCCAACCCAUGCUAGCAUGGAAAACGUACAUUAAACGAUGAUGAUGAUGAUGAUGAUGUAUUUAUCUCAAGAAAUAGCUACAUUUCUUUCUUUAACAUUUUACAUUGUCCAGCCUACACAAAAAAAUGUGUGAUAGACAAAAUAGAAAUUUUUAAAGAAGUAUCCAUAAAAGUUUUGUUGACCCUACCAUAUUCGAUUGGCUACGGGGUCCACCAGACUUUAAAAAAAAUCAAAGGGAUUUAUAUAUGAAAAACAAAAUGGUUCAAAACCACUACUCUGGCCAAGAUAUUGUACCAUGCAAUAGACCUGGAGCAAAAUGAAAUUCUUAAUCCUAAGAAAUGAACUUCUUAAUCAUAAAACCAUGCCUUUUUACAAAUGCACAAUUAGUUUAUAUAUUUUUCAUCAAUUUUGUAGAAUCACUCAUUCUGUUGGAGCAGUUGGUGGCCUGAAAAGGGUCAAGUCAGCAAUAUCUGUGGCCCGUGCAGUGAUGAAAUAUACUGAGCAUACACUGCUUGUUGGAGAUGCAGGUAAAAUUACUAAAUUAAGAAUCAAUGUUGUUCUUUGUUCAUCAGAUAUUUUAUAUUAAUAAUAUUCCAAUGUUACGGAGAUGUACUUGCAUAGCAAGUGACCUGAUCUGAGAUCAUCUACUGGGACGAAAACAAUUUCAGCAUGGAAGGUGUUUAUAAGCCAUUUAAGAAACACACAGAAACUGUUAGAUUCCCUUCAACAUUUAAAUUUAAUUUGCCAAAAUACUUUCAUCGCUUUGAGACCGUGACCUAUUCACUGACAAAAUUCUGUCUCAAAGCGACGAAAAUAUUUUGGCAAAUUAAAUUUAAAUGUUGAAGUGAAUCUAAUGGUUUUUGUGUGUUUCUUAAAUAUUACAAUGGUUGGCCUGGUUUUUGUUUCUAUUAUUGAGUGAAUGUUAGUAUUGAUUUAGGAGACUUAUGAUUAAAGAUUUUUCCAAACACUACUAACUUGUUUGUUUACCUAUCUUGAAGAUUAACGGAAUAUUUUGAAAAUAUAUACCAAGUAAAGCAUUUGUGUAUUUAUAGACUUAUUCACACUUAAUAUUCAAUCAAUAAUUUUCACAAAUAAAGAAUACUUUGGUAGCAAAAGGGAUUGGGACUUUCUACUACAAUAGUAAUCAAACUGAGCGGCGAGGUGACAGAAACGUUAGCAUGCCGGACAAAAUGCUUGGUGGUAUUUCGUCUGUCUUUACGUUCUGAGUUCAAAUUCCGCCGAGGUCGACUUUACCUUUCAUCCUUUCGGGGUCGAUAAAUUAAGUACCAGUUAUGCACAGGGAUCGAUGUAAUCGACUUAAUCCGUUUGUCUGACCUUGUUUGUCCCCUCUGUGUUUAGCCCCUUGUGGGUAGUAAAGAAAUAUAUACUCUGUUGAUAAAGUACCACUCAUCAAAAAUAAUUGAAAUAUUAAUCAUUGGUAAGUAUUGCAUUCUUUUUUCUACUCUCUUCAGCAAGAUGUCCACCAUACUUAAGCCUCUCAUUACUUUGCAUAAAGCCACCUCCCUCAAAACUACUCCGCCCUCAGUUGAGGGGGUCGAGUCUGGCAAGUUACUUAGUGAUCUCACUAAUGCUGGAACCAUGCUAAAACCACCCAGAACACUCUGUAAAGGGGUUGGUAUAAGGAAGGGCAUCUGGCCACAGAAACAAUACCAAAGCAGAUAUUGGAGUUAUUGGAGCAGAUAUUGAAGAUACUAGAUGCAGCUUAGUCGACUUUGCCUUUCAUCCUUUCGGGGUCGAUUAAAAAAAGUACCAGUUAUGCACUGGGGUCGAUGUAAUCGACUUAAUCCCUUUGUCUGUCCUCGUUUGUUCCCUCUUUGUUUAGCCCCUUGUGGGCAGUAAAUAAAUAAGAAUAGUAAUCAAACCUUUUGGUCAGCUGGAAAUGUGAGGGUUGAUAUUUACUGUGGUCAAUCAUCACAGGCUUGUUUUGUUUUUUCUUUUAAAAAAUCCAUUUUUUAUGAUUUAACUUGGGAACAAUAUCGAGAUCUCUUGACAGGGGCGCACAACUGACAGGUCAGGGAUUCUCUCCAGGUCAAGCCAGUACUUCUCCACAUUGAGAGGUCACUUUGGACAUGUGAUUAGAAUGUCACAAGGAAGAAUCACAAAAUGGGUUCAGCAAGCUGAGCCAACUGGCAGGAGAUGCAGGGGUUGACUAAAAGAAGAUGGUUGGCUAAUAUCCAUAGUCUCAGCUGGUAACGCUUGUUAAUCUAGCCUGAAAGUGUAAUGGCAAUAGCAUCUUAUAGGGAUCUUUUCGGUUUGAACGGCAGUUUUUGACAUAAUUUGUAAGUAACUAAAAAAUUUUAAACUUCGUAUACUGGUAGAAUGUGUUUAUAAAACAUCUUUUUCUCUUGGCUUUUUUGAGAAAAUUCUAUAGUUUGUAAGAUAUUUGUUGUUUUUUUUCUUCAAUUUCUGCAAUUUCAACCAAUCAGUGACAUCUAUUGAGGUAAAAACAUUCUGUGCUGUAUGAGAAACAGAUUGGGUUUAUUUACAUUUCUGAAGAAAAAAAGAUACCCUUCCCAUCACCCCUAACCCUAACCCUAACUAAUCCUAAUCCUAAAACAGAUUGAAAUGCAAUAGAUCGAUACUAGGGUCAUAAUUAUGGGUGACAAUUUCAUAUGACACCACUAGAAAAAACUGCCGUUCAAACCAAAAAGAUCCUCUUAUAGGUCCCUAAGGAAGAAGUGUCUGGAGACUCUACACCCCACAACUCUCCCAUGAAUAGUGGCUAGAGAAAUGGAUUGAAGGAUGGAUGGAUCAAGUAGCUGGAAAUAUUUGCAAGUAACCAGAAGAGAAGCAUAGAACUAGGUAUGUGUAACUUGAAAAACAAACCCAAAGUAAGGAGUUUUCCAAUGUUCUGCUGUGUGAGGAUCAGGGGUGUGAUGUGUUUUACAUUACAAAGCCGUAUGUCAAUGUCAAUCAAAAUGUUGCUGGGGAAAAUUGUGUGUUGAAAGAUAACAGCAUACUUACUCUUACUGGUUGUGAGAAGAAACAGGCUUGAACAUGUUGUGAGAAAUUGCUGAAUUUCAUGGAUGUGAAGGGGAGAGAAUGACAGACCCAAGAAACAACUGAAAAUUUGAUUAAAACUCUCCUUUUAAAAGAUGGAAUUUCUUUUUUAAACUGUUAUAACAAAUUAUGUUUCGUUUUGGGAUUUGGUUUGCAAGAUUCUUUAUGUGAGUUCGUGUGUUGAAGCAUAUUCUGUUGUGUCUGGGGAGAGUCAUUCUCUUUCAGUGUCUUCUUAUUUAACACACUCACCGGUAAAAUUUCCACUUUGCAGCCUUUUCAAUAGUCUUGACUCUUAAGAGUCUUGACUCUCAAGAGUCAAGAGUAUUGAAAAGGUUGCAAGACGCAACGAAAAUUUUAGGAAAAUAAAAAAGUGGAAAUUUUACCGGUGUGUUAAAUAAGAAGACACAAAAAGAGAAUAACUCUCCCCAGACACAACAGAAUAACAAAUUAUAUUUUAUAUAUAUACUUUGUCCAUUACAAUUAAUUAAAACAGGAAUUAUAGUUGUUUAAUCUGCUUUUGUUGCAGCCACGAAAUUUGCUCUUCAGAUGGGCUUUAAGGAAUCAGAUUUGCAUACAAAUAAAUCAAUAGCAGUAUGGAAGAAGUGGCGUUCAGGUAAAUGCCAACCAAACUACUGGAAAGUAAGUGUCUUAGAUCAUGUAUUACAUAACAAAUAGCUUCAUUCCUAAUGUCAAUGCUCUUUAAAAAAAAAUAUACAUGGCUGUUUGUUAAGUGGUUUGCUACCCAACCACAAGGUUUCGGGUUAUGUUCCAUACAGUGGAACUGAACCCGAAACAGGUAUAGAAACCUUACCAAAGCAAAGACUGAAACCUAGUGCAGCCCUCCAGCUUGCCAGUACCAGUGAAACUGUCUAAUCCAUGCCCCAGCAUGGAAAACAGGCGUUAAUUGAUGAUGAUGAUAUAUAUAUACAUAUAUACGACGGGCUUCUUUGAGUUUCCGUCUACCAAAUCCACUCACAAGGCUUUGGUCGGCCCAAGGCUAUAGUAGAGGACACUUGCCCAAGGUGCCAUGCAGUGGGACUGAACCCAGAGCCAUGUGGUUGGUAAGCAACCUACUUACCACACAGCCACUCCUACACCAUAUAUGUAUAAUUAAAAUGGAAAUCUAUCACAUUGUCUCCUAACCUUUGUUAGUCCAGCACCCACUUAGAUGUCCUUUCACAUUGGCCAACCCUACCCUUUAAAUAUUCCAUAAAGGCAUUUAAAUACAGAUAAGGUUUGAUUUGAAUUCCAAGCACACCCUGAAAUAAAUUUAGGUGUCCCACUUGGGGGCUAGCACCCCAGAUUGGGAAACAACUAUCCAUGGCUAUAGUUAUGAAUUACCAUUAUAUUUCUUCAACAGGAUGUUGAACCAGACCCUAGAAAACACUGUGGACCUUACAAACCUGCCAAUCAUGGCAACACUCUUUACAAAUUUCAUGACCCACAAAGUUCACCUGAUAUCUCCGAAUCCAACCAUGACACCAUUGGUAUGAUUGUUGUUGAUGCCAAAGGUAAUGUGGCAGGAGGAACUUCAACAAAUGGAAUGACCCACAAAAUUCCUGGGUUUGUAAUCUUUAAUUUUAAAAUAUAUUUCUGUAAUUUUUCGUUUUUUUCUUCUUUUCUUUUUAAUAUAUUCAUGUUUGAUCCUUUCCUGCUGCUGUUUAUCUCUGAUUUCUUGGUUGGUUUUAGACAUUAGUUGAGUUAGUGUUAUCAUUUUUAAUGCAGUGAGUACCGUAAAUCCUCGAGUAUAGUCCGCCCUUGAGUAUAAUACACAGGGGAUUUUUAGGGGGCUGUACCUCUGAAAAACCUAAACCUUGAGUAUAAUACGCACCCCUUCUCUAACUUGAGUCAAGGAGGUUAUUAUAACGUCCUUGGUUUGUAAAAAUGUAUACGGUAACGUCCAUUAUUAUUAUUGUAUAUAUAACAUAAUGCAAACUUGUAGCUUUUUUGUGCAUUUUGUUUGCAGAAAAUAAAGAAAUAACCUUAAUAACGUUUAAUAAAUGUUGCUAACUGCAAGUUAUGGAUGAUUUAAGGUAUUUUUGUGCCCGACAUCACAAAAUGCAUCUGAAUAAAUAUUGCCGGACAGCAAAUAGAGACUCGGACAUUGCUUAGAAAAUAAUUUUCAUUUUUAACCUUGUAUAUAGUACACACUAGGGAUUUUGACCUUUAAAUUUUGGGACAAAAAAGCGGAUUAUACUCGAAGAUUUACGGUAUUAAAACUUGAGCUCAUCAUCAUCAUUUAACAUCCACUUUCCAUGCUGGCAUGGGUUGGACAAUUCAAUAGGAACUGGCAAACCACUAAGCUGCAUCUAGUAUCUCCAAUACCUGCUUAAUAUCUCCAAUAUCUGCUCCAAUAUCUCCAAUAUCUACUUUGGUAUUGUUUCUGUAGCCAGAUGCCCUUCCUUACACCAACCCCUUUACAGAGUGUUCUGAGUGAUUUUAGCAUGGUUCCAGCAUUAGUGAGGUCACUAAGUAACUUGCCAGACUCGACCCCCUCAACUGAGGGCGGAGUAGUUUUGAGGGAGGUGGCUUUAUGCCAAGUAAUGAGAGGCUUAAGUAUGGUGGAUGUCUUGCUGAAGAGAGUAGAAAGAAGAAUGCAAUACUUAACAAUGCUUAAUAAAAUUUCAAUUAUUUUUGAUGAGUUGUAGCUUCUGAUGUUUAGACCCAAGUCAGCUUUAAUCAGGCAGAUCUAUGAACAAAAGUGUUUGAGCUAUGACCAUCCUGUUUUACUUUUGCAAGAAUAGUAUACUCCAGGCUAUAUUAUUCAGUGUCUUUUAUCUGGUAUAACUAAAGAAUUGGGCCCCACUGACUUUGUUUUGUCAUAAAAGGGGUGUGGUUGUAUGUUUGUUGUUUUAUAACACAGGGAAUGAGACAAAGGCAUGAUACAAUACAUUGAGACAUGUUAAGAACUAGCUUAAAAGCCACCCUAUUGGGUGGCUUUUAAGCUAGUAUAUAGCUUUUAACGGUGGCGAAAUGGCAGAAUCGUUACUGUGCCGGGCAAAAUGCUCAGCUGCAUUUCGACCGUUGUUACAUUCUCAGUUCAAAUUCUACCGGUGUUAACUUUACCUUGGUGGAGGCACGUAGCCUAGUGGUUAGAGCAGCAGACUUGUGGUUGAGGGAUCGUGGGUUCGAAUCUCAGACUGGGCGAUGUGUGUGCUUAUGAGCGAAACACCUAUGUUCCACACAGCUCUGGCAGAAGGUAAUGGCGAAAUUCUGCUGUCUCUUUCACCACCUUUUUCUCUCACUCUUUCCUCCUGCAUCUUGCAGCUCACCUGUGAUGGACCGGCAUCCCAUCCAGGAGAGGAACCGGCCUUUAUGAGCCAGGCAUGGCUCGAGAAGGAACAGACAUAUAGCUUUUAAGCUGCUGACCCUGAAUGGAGAGACCUGCAAACAAAUUCUCUGACUUGUUUUGAAGAAUUUGUUGCAGUUGCUUCCUCCAGAGUCAUAUCCCAAUGAUGAUCAUAUUUGUCUCAAAAAAAAAUUGCUGAAAAUAAUUGCUGGAUUUCACAAUUAAUUUCAAUUAUUCCCAAAAUUUUUUUCCAAGUUAUAAAAAUUGUAUAAUACAAAAAAUUUUGUCGCAAGAAAUCACAUAAAAAAAUUUGCCAAAAAUAAUUGCAAUAAUGAAGACUUGAGAAUCCAAUAUUUCAGGAUUGCGAAUCCAGAUUUGGCUCAGAAUGUUUGUAAUUUACUCGUGGAGUUGGCCUUUAGGUUGUAAAAAUUGUUAUUGUGCAAAAAAAUUUGUUGCAAAAAGUCACGUAAAAAAUUCGAGAAAACAAUCGCAGUAAUGAAAACUUGGGAAUCCAAAAUUUCAGGAUUAUGGGUCUGGAUUCAGCCCAGAAUGUUUUUAAUUUACUCACAGAGUCAGCCUGAUUCCAAAAUGGUAUAUGUUGGGCUACAGCUUCUAGGAGUAAAGUUGAAAAAGUGUGACACACUGACACACUGACAUUCACAUUUAUUAUAUUAGAUUUUUCUAAGUUUCACUCAUAGGCAAAUGAAAUAUAUAAACACAUAGAUGAUUAAUAAAAAAGAUAUACAAAAGAUGAAACCGGUUAGGGCAACCCACCCACUCAUGGACAAGCAGAGUCUCCUGAGUUAAAUCAAGACACCUCCAUGACCCUGACCUCAUCUUACUUCCAUUUACUCCACAAACAUAUACACAAAAUAAUCAAUUCCAAAGGAGCCAGUGAGUUGCUCAAAGAACCCACAACCUCCUGGGAACAAAGGUGUUACUGUUAAUAAACUUUGAGAGUGGUCUGUAUAAGUAGUCUAUAUUCCAUCUCCAUCUCAACCUGUGUUUUAUCUUUCCCUUUCUCUUCCUGUUUACCAUUUAAAAUAUUUAUCAGUUUUUUUGUUGACUUUUCAAAGGAAUGUGAACAAUGUAUUCCCUGCUGAAAAUAGGACUUCUCCUCAUACAUCUUGCUCACUUUCUACAUGAAGUCCCUUAUAAUUUGGUGGAGGAGACUUUUACCUUUAUUUAUUUAUUUUUUUCACUGUCCCCAACAAUUUGGUACCCUUGCCAUCAGUCUCACAAGACCAUGGGGUGAUACUCUAUGUUUUGGUUAAAGGAGAGAAUCCUUUGUCAUGAGCUUACAACACUUAGAACAUACACUCUGUUGUCAUUGUUGUUGCUGAUGUUGUUACUGUUUCCUUUCUGCCUCUUCUUCCUCCUCUUCUGUAUCCCUUUAGCAUUUAGAUUACUCUGUCAAAUGUUCUGCUUAUUUAUUCACAUUAAUUUGAAUUAAUCUUGCAUUACCUCUUAGCUUUGAGGUUUCAAUGAUGUGAUUCUAAAUCUCUAUAUAUAUAUAAAGUAUAAUUCAAAGCAGAUCUUUGUUUUCAGGAGAGUUGGUGAUUCACCUAUUGUUGGUGCUGGUGCUUAUGUGGACAAUGCAGUCGGUGGUGCUGUAGCUACAGGUGAUGGAGACGUUAUGAUGAGAUUUUUACCAAGGUCAGUAAAGCAAUGAUAUAUACACUACAAAUAUACACCUACUAAUUGAAACUUUCAUCUCUGUCAACUUCACCUUGAAACUGCUCAGCUCCAGGUUUAUCUUAAUAAUUCCCUUACAGAUUCAGCUAUGAGAACUUGAUCAUCAACAUGUAUGAGUUCCCACAAACAGCCAGUCUUAAACUGCUCAGUGAUGGCUUGUAGGACUAUGAUAAAUAGGAGGAGACUCUGAUAAAGGCGGCGAGCUGGCAGAAACGUUAGCACGCCAGGCGAAAUGUGUAGCCAUAUUUCGUCUGCCAUUACAUUCUGAGUUCAAAUUCCGCCGAGGUCGACUUUGCCUUUCAUCCUUUCGGGAUCAAUAAACUAAGUACCAGUUAUGCACUGGGGGUCGAUGUAAUCGACUUAAUCCAUUUGUCCUUGUUCAUCCACUCUGUGUUUAACCCCUUGUGGGUAGUAAAGAAAUAAAUAGAUAAAUAGAAGGGGACUAGAGUCCCAGUAUGUGGAGGCAUGCGGCUUAGUAAUUAGGGUGUACCACUCAUGAUUGUAAAAUUAUGGUUUCGAUCCCUGGACCAGGCAAUGCAUUGUGUUCUUAAGCAAAACACUUCAUUUCAUGUUGCUACUGUUCACUCAACUGGCAAAAAUGAGGAAUCCUGCAAUGGACUGCCAUGCUGUCCUGGGAGAAAUAUAUAAAUUAUAGAAACCAGGAAACUGGCCCUAUGAGUCUAUAUGACUCAGAAAGGGGCUUUGUUAUCAUUAUAUAGAGUCACAGUAUACCAUAAAUCCUUGAGUAUAAUCCGCAUUUUUUUUCCCAACAUUUAAUGGUCAAAAUCCAUAGUGCAUACUCUAUACAAGGUUAAAAAUGAAUGAUAUUUUCUAAGCAAUGUCCGAGUUUCUAUUUGCUGUCCAACAAUGUUUAUUCAGACACAUUUUGUGAUGCUGGGCGUGAAAAUAUUUUCAGCUAAGCUUGAAAGCAAUGAAGUAAUAAAAGAAUCAUCCAUAACUUGCAGUAAGCAACAUUUAUUAAAAUAAAAGUAUUCAGAACACAGAAUAACAUGUAACAAAAACAAUUUGCAAACAUAUUUACAUUCCCAUAUAACAGUUAAGAAAAUCACCAUUAUUGUGUUACGCAUGCGCGGAAGUGUUUGUUCGACUAGGUGCUGCUGGCUUAAUUACGCACAACUCAAGUUGAAGAAGGGGUGCGUAUUAUACACAAGGCUUAGGUUUUUCAGAGGUACAGCCCCCUAAAAAUUCCCUGUGUAUUAUACUCAAGUGCAGACUAUACUCGAGGAUUUAUGGUACCAAUCUUGAGAUCAACUCUUGGGUUAUCAGAUGAAAAGAGGUAAAAAUUUAUUCAAAUUUCAAAAGCUAUAAAUAAAAGUUGUGAGUGAAGAACAGAACUACAAAUAAUCCAUAAAACACUUGGAUUAAAAUAUUUUUCAUGUUAAUCCAAAUAACAGUGGAAAGAAUUAAAAUAAAUCUUUUAUCUUUUGACUUGUUUCAGUCGUUAGACUGUGGCCAUGCUAGGGCAACACCUUGAAGAAUUUUAAGUUGGAUGAAUCAACCACAGUGUUUUUUUGGGGUUUUUUUGGCUUAAGCUUGAUAUUUAUUAUGUUGCUUUAUUUCAUGGAAUUGCUAAGUUAUGGGGACAUAAACAAACCAACACCUGUUGUCAAGCAGUGUGGUAGGCAGGGGAGACACACAGGCACACACACAUAUAUAUAUAUAUAUAUAUAUAUAUAUAUAUAUACAUACAUACAUACAUACAUACAUACAUACAUACAUAUAUAUAUAUAUAUGUAUAUAUAAACAUAUAUAUAUAUAUAUGUAUAUAUAAACAUAUAUAUAAAUAUAUAUAUAUAUAUAUAUACACAUAUGUAUAUAAUGAUAUAAUGUAUAUAUAUAUAUAUAUAUAUCAUCAUCAUCAUCAUCAUCGUUUAGCGUCCGUUUUCCAUGCUAGCAUGGGUUGGACGGUUCUACUGGGGUCUGUGAAGCCAGAAGGCUUCAUCAGGCCCAGUCAAAUCUGGCAGUGUUUCUACGGCUGGAUGCCCUUCCUAACGCCAACCACUCCGUGAGUGUAGUGGGUGCUUUUUACUAUAUAUAUAUAGUUAGAAUUUACAAAAACAAAAGAUGAAGACAGGUGUGUAACCACAUACAGGUGUAUUAGUUUAACGCUCGGGAAGGUAAGAAAGUCUUUUAUGUUUCAAGCCUAUGCUCUUCAACAGAAAGGAACACAGAAAUAAGCAGAAAGAGAGAAUAAAAAAAGAAAGUUUUAGUAGCUAGUGGUCAAUUAUGGUGAUGGCCGGACAGAUGUGGUCAGACAGGAGAAUCUAGGAAGAAGGGGAGAUAAUAAAGUAGUGGAGAUCCCAAAACAAUGGGGCUUCUUUCAGCUUCCAUCUACCAAAUCCACUCACAAGGCUUUGAUUGGUCUGAAGCUGAAAUAAAAGACACUUGCCCAAGGUGUCACACAGUGGUACUGAACUCAGAACCAUGUGGUUGGGAAGCAAGCCUCUUACGACACAGCCACUACCUGUGCCCAAUUAAUAGGGGAAAAAAGAAACAAGUUUAUCUGACAGCUCAAUGUAUUUCAACAUAACCAUUUUUUUCUUAAUGCACCCAAUGUUCCUUUUUCCAUUGUGUUCUUUCAGCUUCCAUGCUGUUCUCUUGAUGCAAGAGGGUUUAAGUCCAACAGAAGCAACGAGAAAAGCUUUGCUUCCCAUAAUCAAGAAAUACCCAAAUUUUAACGGCGCACUUGUGGCUACCACCAUCACUGGUGAAUAUGGUAGGUAUGAUUAGAAGAGAUUUUUCUUUAUUCACCAUAAAGGUUAUACAUAGAAAGAAAACGGAACCAUCACAAAUGAUUUGACAUUAAACAUGCAUAUGGGGUCUGUUAAAAAUUUAUACAUGGUUAUAGUUUACGGAUGAUAAGACACUGUACAGUACAAUUUCACAGAUGGAGUGGGGCGGGAUUACGGACCCCACGAGCCCCACCACGACACUGACUUUGGGUUUUUUUCCUCUUUUUUUUUAGGCUUAUCUCACAUUCAUGAGGGUCCUUUUUUUCACGACAUUCUUCCAUCUUUCAUCAAACACUUUCUUACUCAGGCACCUCUUCUCUAACUCUGUUUGUCUUUUUAGGUGGAAUCUAACACACAGACAUAUGCACACACACACACACACACACACACACGUACACAUACAUAUUUGUGUAUGCAGAAAUGUAUAUAAACAUACAAAUACACACACAUAUGCAUAUACACACAGUCACCUGUGCACACACACAUACAUAGAAAUGUGAAUGCACAUGCACACAUCCAUAUGCACACACAUACACAAGAGUAUUGGUAAAAGAAUUGAACAGAAUAUGAUAAAAGAUACACACACUAAAACAUACACAUACCUAUGCACAUACAUUCGUGCAUGCACACACACUCACAGAUGUAUGCAUGUGCAUAAUCACACAUACACAUACACACACAUAGCUGUAUGCAAACGUUCACAAAUGAGUCUGCAGAGCAAUCUCUAUGUCAGCACUCAACCUGCUAGAAAUAGAAACCAGAUCUCCCUCAAAUCACAUUCUACCACUAGAAAAAAUGCUAUGCUCAUAGGUCAUCUUGACCAGGGCUGACCUGGAGGUAAAUAACAUUUCAUCAUAAUCAUCAUUAUCAUCAUCAUCUAACGUCCCUUGUCCCAUGCUGGCAUGGGUUGGAUACUUUGACAGGAUCCAAUGGGUCCAAGGAUUGCAUCAUCUUCCAUUGCCUACUUUGGUAUGGUUUCUAUGGCUAGAUGCCCUUCCUAUGCAUAAUAAUUUCUUCAUGGAUCAUCAUCUUUCUUUUUAAUGGUUACAAGGGAUUGAUAUAGGUGCAGUUCAACAUUUAUUGUGUCUUUUAGUCAAGUCAUUUAAGGCUCAGCAUUCACAGAACAUUUUUGAACUAAAAUUAAUCCCUAGUUUGCUUUUUUUUUUGUCCUAUCUCUACUACCAGAACCAUCUGUAACGAACUCCUGGCACAGUGCCAGUAUCAGCCAUUUUAUGUCCAAAGUACAGGUGCGACUGUGUGGGUAAGAAGCUUGCUUACCAAUCGUGUGAUCUUGUAUUCAGUCUCACUGCAUGGUACCUUGGUCAAAUGUCUUCUACAACAGCCCUGGGCUGACCAAUGCCUUAUGAGUGAAUUUGGUUGACACAAACUGAAAGAAGCUUGUUGUACAUAUAUUUUGUAUUUAGACACAUCACUUUUUCUGCUGAUACUAUAAAAGGUCUCUGCCCCUCAGUCUAGCUGGGCUCAUGCCCUCCCCCAACUCAGCAGCUCUCCCAUUCCAUUAAUUUUCUUCCUGCCCCCACCCUUGCUGUAUCCUAUCCCCAGGUCUCACUCUAAACACUACGCCAUGUCCAGUCCUUUUCUCUUGGAACAGCUCUCUGUGGACUUAUUUCCCUGUAAGUGUUAAUUUACAAAUCUUCAAUGGCAUCACUCUCGCUGGUCAAGGAGAACCUGCAAAGGCCAUUGGCACUUGCUCCUUCCCCCAGACUCAGCCAGUAAUUUUUAAAAUCUCUGUUCCCUUAAAUAUUCAUUGUUUUGUUUGGAAACAAACUUGGGAUACCUGUGUGAAAUCUGGGAAUGCCAACCAAUAACCUAUUAUGCAACAAACAUUUACAAGUAUUAAAUCAUUGCCAGGAAAGUCCUCAAAACAUUGUUUGCUUUUCUUGUUUCUCCCUCCAGGGGCAGCCUGUCAUAAUUUUGGUGGAUCAGUUUGGUACACAGUCACAAAUCCUUCAUUGGAAAACUCAACUGUUUUCAGAAUAAAAUGUUCUAAAAAUUUCCAAUUUUGACCCAAAACAACAUUUACCAAAACGCAUUUACCGACAUGAGAUGUUCGAAAAGAAAAUUCCACAAUGACGCCAGUGAAGAUGAGAACAUCAACUAACCACACAUUUUAAUCAUGAGGAAAGAAGCCGAAGAAUGGUGCUAAUAUCUUAUAAAACAAGUGAAAUAAAUGUAUUAUUCUUUUAUUAUUUCUGUGUGUUUUUUUCAAUGUUGGCCAUAGAUUUAUUGAAGCUGG
rnacentral:lncRNA from 1 species